AUGCUGAGGAGCAGGCGACGGCCCACAGAGAAGGGGCGAAAGCCUUGCUACAGGAGCUCAAGACAUUCGCCUAUGAAGGCAAAUGAAGUCUUCGAUGAAUUCAAGUACGAAGCACUUCGCUGUGAAGCCAAGAAGAAUGGGCAUUAUACCAAGCUUGGCUUUGAUGUAAUCAAACUUUUCCCUACCCACAACUGUGUUGUGUUCCAUCAAAGAAUGGGUAGCGGGCUUUGCCAACCUGUGCAGGCCAUUGAUGUCCUCAUUGCGGAGAUGCGGGUCUUUGGGUUCAAGUACCAACCACAGCCACCAGUCUCCAAGCAGUGGAGGCAGACAGAUUAUGUUAUCAUGGACCCACAAGAAAUUGCUAGCAGAUCCAGAGACAAAGAUAAGAAGAAGAUUGUUGAUGUAUUACUUGGUCAAGCUACCAAUGCAGAUCUUGCAGUUGUUCCCAUCGUUGGAAUGGGGGGUCUUGGCAAGACCACAUUGGCACAACUCAUCUACAAUGAACCUAGAAUUCAGAGGCAUUUCGAGUUGCUGGUCUGGGUCUGUGUAUCUGAUACCUUUGAUGUGAACUCCCUAGCUAAGAGUAUAGUUGAAGCAUCUCCCAAUAAGAAUCAUGAUACAGAUAAACCAGCACUAGAUAGACUUCAACGGUUGGUCAACGGGCAGAGGUAUCUGCUUGUAUUGGAUGAUAUCUGGAAUAACAAAGAGUUUCAUAGGUGGGAAAUGCUGAAGGUCUGUCUUCGGCAUGGUGGCAUGGGUAGUGCAGUGUUGACAACAACUCGUGAUAAACGAGUUGCUGAAAUUAUGGGUGCAACAGACUACAAUCUCAAUGUUUUGGAGGAUUGCUUCAUAAAGAAAAUUAUUGAAGCUAGAGCAUUCAGUUCGGACAAAGGAAAGCCUGCUGAACUCGUCGAGAUGGUUGAUGAGAUUGUGAAGAGAUGUUUUGGCUGUCCAUUAGCUGCAACAGCACUUGGCUCUGUACUUGGUACCAAGACCAACGUGAAUGAAUGGAGAGUUGUAUCAACUAGAAGCAGCAUUUGUGCCGAGGAAACAUGA
rnacentral:rRNA from 1 species